GACGAACCGUGCGAACGUUGUUCGGAAUCACUGGGCAUAAAGGGCGCGUAGGCGGCUUAUCAAGUCAGGGGUGAAAUCCGGCAGCUUAACUGUCGAAGUGCCUUUGAUACUAACGAGCUCGAGGGAGAUAGGGGUGUGUGGAACUUCCGGUGGAGCGGUGAAAUGCGUUGAUAUCGGAAGGAACGCCGGUGGCGAAAGCGACACACUGGAUCUCUUCUGACGCUGAGGCGCGAAAGCCAGGGGAGCAAACGGG
rnacentral:rRNA from 1 species